UUCAACUUGAGAGUUUGAUCCUGGCUCAGAACGAACGCUGGCGGCAGGCCUAACACAUGCAAGUCGAGCGAAGCCUUCGGGCUUAGCGGCGGACGGGUGAGUAACGCGUGGGA
rnacentral:rRNA from 1 species